rnacentral:rRNA from 1 species
CCUACGGGUGGCAGCAGUGGGGAAUAUUGCACAAUGGGGGAAACCCUGAUGCAGCGACGCCGCGUGAGUGAAGAAGUAUCUCGGUACGUAAAGCUCUAUCAGCAGGGAAGAAAAUGACGGUACCUGACUAAGAAGACCCGGCUAACUACGUGCCAGCAGCCGCGGUAAUAAGUAGGGGGCAAGCGUUAUCCGGAUUUACUGGGUGUAAAGGGAGCGUAGACGGCAGCACAAGUCUGGAGUGAAAUCCCGGGGCCUAACCCCGGAACUGCUUUGGAAACUGUGCGGCUGGAGGGCAGGAGGGGUAAGCGGAAUUCCUAGUGUAGCGGUGAAAUGCGUAGAUAUUAGGAGGAACACCGGUGGCGAAGGCGGCUUACUGGACUGUAACUGACGUUGAGGCUCGAAAGCGUGGGGAGCAAACAGGAUUAGAUACCCGAGUAGUC